rnacentral:tRNA from 1 species
AGGCUGUUGGCACAGUUGGUCGGGUGCUGGAUGUGCUUUCUAGAAGUGGUAGGUUGGAUUCCUACACGGCCAG